rnacentral:rRNA from 1 species
AUACGGAUGGUGCGAGCGUUGUUCGGAAUUACUGGGCGUAAAGGGCGCGUAGGCGGCGAUGUAAGUCAAAUGUGAAAGUCCUCGGCUUAACCGGGGAAGUGCAUCUGAAACUGCAUUGCUUGAGUAUGGGAGAGGAAAGUGGAAUUCCCGGUGUAGAGGUGAAAUUCGUAGAGAUCGGGAGGAAUACCGGUGGCGAAGGCGACUUUCUGGAACACUACUGACGCUGAGGCGCGAAAGCGUGGGGAGCAAACAGGAUUAGAUACCCUAGUAGUCC